AUUGACUUCAGAGAGGGGCCCAGGUGGGUUUGGAUUCUUGCUGAUCUACAAAGAAUUCCCACAUCGUGGUCAGUUUUCAGCUGGCUUAGAUAUACCAGGUUCUUCCUGCCAUCACAAUUUGGAGGCUGCUGGGUUGAAGAUCACCUCCAUCAGGUUCCAAAACCCAGUGAGUGCUGCAGCCAAGGAAAUUCUCCUUCAGAAGUAAGUUUUUUAUUUAUUUCACUUCUUUAUUUCUUUCUUGUUUAGGGCUUAACUAGGUGCAAGUUGGGACUAAGCCUGCAAGCUGUCUGCUGGAUAUUUUUGUCAGUUCCACAGCUGCAGGAAGAGCUGUAAAAUGAUCAAACACAUCAAAUUUCUCGCAGUACCGCAAAGACUACUGAAGCUCACAGCUGUUGAAAAGGCUUUCAAGGACCCUGGAAGCCUUGAAGAUACUUAAAUGGAGCUAGGCUUUUAGACUGAACUGCAGAAAGCCUCAGUUGCUGCAAACCCACUGAAACCUGAAAGGGCCUUUUUUGCUGACUGCUCCAGACUCUCAGACCCUGGGAGCCUCUCUCAUGGCUUCAGACCACAGCUAAACAGCAUAAUCCACCUGGAUGUUUUAACAAAGCUGGCACUUUAGAAGUCACAAGGCCUAGGAAGACUGUCAUAUUCAGCUCUAGAGAUUUCCUCCUUACAACAGGAUGUUUGGGCAAAAUUUCUGCAGCUCAAUAAGUAGCAAAAACCUAUUUAAACACCAGACCCAACAUUUUAUGGUAAAACUGGACUGCAACUUAUU
rnacentral:lncRNA from 1 species